GGAGGGAGCCCAGACGCUGAGUUCCGGCCCUGGCUGAGCUUGCGUUGCACCAACAUCCAUCCCCCGCCCCUCGACAUUGGGUUCCUGCCCAGGGUUCUGGCUUUCUUCCUGGGCUUUGUAGCGCGGCCGGGGGCGGGGCUUUCUAACCUCUCAAGUGGCAAUUCCUUUAGGUUUUGGGGCCUUGGUUGCCCAGAAUGGGCUGCGGCAUAUUCUGUGCUUUCCCGGGCUGGGACGAGCUGACAGAAAUUCUGGGUUUAGCGGUCGCCGACCCAGUGGGCCGCCAUCGGCGCCCAGAGGUGGCUGGGAAGAAUGGGCGAGUUUAGUAGGCGUCCCAGGCUGUCAAAAUCUUUGCUGUUGGCUCGUGCUGUCCAGCUGCGGUAGGUGCAUCCCUGGGAUACCGGAAGAACUAGGCGAGGCAUUGCACAUGGAGUGUUUUGGCUUGUAUUGGCGUGUUCUGACUUCAAGUGUAUUAGAUGAGAAUGACGGUAGCAAUGAGAAUUUCACUUGCAGACCUUAUCUCAUCCACCCUAAGUGUACCUGGAAGUGGCAUUUUGCCCAAGUGUGCCCUGGGGUAAGGCAAGAAUAGGGUAGGUUAGAAAUACCUGAAAUGAAAGUCCUGUCUUUAUCUAGGGGACAAACUCUGAUCAAGUCUUAGUGCCAUUUCUGUCUUGGAAUUCAGAAGUGAAAUGUGUCACUGCGACACCUGUCAACACAUUUAUUUUACUUGAAAACCGAAUUUUUCUGACCAAAAGUAAAUCUAAUUUGGUUAAUUGGUUCUAUAGACUGGUGUUGCUAAGUUGCCUAAUUUUUUUAAACAAUAAAUUUAACUAAAUCUAUUUAAAUUAGUGAUACUGCGACUCUGGAGGCUGAGGCAGGAUCAUCACAAGUUCAGGGCCAGACUCAGCAAUUUAGGAAGGCUCUGUCUAGAAUUUAAACAAACAACAAAAAAAAAGCAAAUGGUUAUAAUAAUAAGAUAACAAAUUAUUUUGCAAGUCAGAUGUUUUCCAGUUCUUUAUUUACAGCAAAAUUAAUGGCUGACCUAAUUGAAUUGUUAGCUGAUGAAAGAUCACUUUUAAUUUUGGAACUAUAACUCAGAAAAAAGCCCCAAAAUUGAUUGACAUUACUAAAACAAAACUACUAGCAUUUUCAUAUUCUUAUUUAUUUGAAUAUUUCUUAGCCUUGUGUUUAUUAAAACAAAAAAGGAAUGGAAUUGAAACUGACCCCUGUUGAUUUAGCAGUAAGAAAUACUCACCUAGGUGCAUGAAUUAAUUGAUAGGAAAGCCCCAUCUAUUUUAGGGCUUUAUACAUGUUAUGCAAGCCCUCUACCAACUGAGCUUCAUCCCCAGACAUAAGAAAUGCUUUCUCAAUAGAAUUAUACCACUUAUAUUUCUAUAUUAUCAAAAUUUGUAAUUGUGUUGUUUUGACUAGCUAUAUACUAAAUUGCAAUAAUUCAGAAUUCUUUCUUUUUUCUUUUAUUAUUUUUUUUUAAAGAGAGAGAGAGAGAGAGAAUUCUAACAUUUAUUUAUUUUUUUUUUAGUUAUCUGCGGGCACAACAUCUUUGUUUGUAUGUGGUGCUGAGGAUCGAACCCGUGCCGCACGCAAACCAGGCGAGCGCGCUACCGCUUGAGCCAUAUCCCCAGCCCCAGAAUUCUUUCUAAUACCUAGAACCAUAAGUUAUAGGGAAUUGUUAAAACUUUUACUUUCAAACAUAUUUUUAUUGUAAAGAAGUGAUCAAUAAAACGUUUUUCAAACAUUAAUUACAUUUGGAUAACUUGGGGGAAAAGAACCUAAAUAUAAGUUAGAGAUGAUAAAGGAGCAAUGCUAAGACUGUCUUGCCUGCUAGAGAGGGGUCACAUUCUCCUUUGAAUGUUUAUUACUUUUCUCACCCCAAAGGUUCUGACUCAAGAUUAAUUCUCCCCCGAAUGUGUAUUUCUUACUUUACCCCAAAGGAUGUCUCUUACUCUUGGAAUGGCCUGCAUUCUCCCCUUGCUUUUCUAAAUAAAAUUCUGUGCCUACUGGGGUAGGGUGGGGAGAAUGAUGUUGAAAGCUCAUUUAUGUAUUUUUUUAAUGGAUGAGGGUGUUUAUUCAAUUGUUAUAUACUUUCUGUUGGAUGUAUUAUAAAAAGUGAUUUCACGGUUUUUAAUUGUCAGUGU
rnacentral:lncRNA from 1 species